UCCCUGAGACCUCUGCUGUGA
rnacentral:miRNA from 1 species